ACACGGCAGCGGAAGCAGCGCCUGAAACAUUUGAGAGUUAAAAAACGAUUUAUUUCACAAUCCUCAAAAUAUUACGUUUUUGUAACACUGACAAGUCGUGUGAACUAAAGGAGCAAUACAUAGGAUAUAUUAAAGGAACACGGAUACAAACUAGGUGCUAGACACUUGAAUAAAACAUGUUCAACAAGACAAGCGCAGACGAAAUUACAAAAUGUAUCCGGCAGUCGAGGUUGGCUGUUGAAGUGGCUCUGAGUUUCCGCUCAUUACCCGGCGAGAGACGGAUAUCCCCAUCCGCACCUACAACCACUGAUAGAUGUUUUUGUUGCAUGUCAUAUUCAACAAAAUAAUAUAGUUAAAGUAAAAUAAAAGGAGCAUCUUUCUUAA
rnacentral:lncRNA from 1 species